CACAUACCAUGGAACAGGUGAAACACAACAUUUUAAACAAAAAGUGUGGGACAAGUCUGUAUUUAAAUUCUAAGCAGAACUGACAGACCAUCAGAAUCCUGUGGAGUUUUGAAAAGCCUGCUGUGCAAUAAAAGGGAAGUGCGCCCCAGAUGGUGCUGACUCUAACUGCAGCCACACACUUCACACACAGCAGCAGUUAACCAGCCAUUGUGAUUAUUUUGCUUUCGUGGAUCAGGAGGUGAGAUAUGUCUUAGUUGGGUGCCUCUGCUCAGGGCCUCACAUCGCUGCAAUCAAGGUGCCAGCCAGGCUGUGUUUUCAUCUGGAGGCUCAAAUGGGAAAAACCCAUUCUUAAGCAUGUUCAGUCCGCAGGCUGAUGCUCUAUCCACUGAACCAAACCGGUUAGGGCAAGGACUCUAGGUUUUGCUGGCUGGAGACUAGAGGCUGCCAUCAGAUCCUAGAGGGUGCCCUCGGUUCCUUGCUGCCUCACAUCACUGCUUACUUACUUCAUCAGACCAAC